rnacentral:rRNA from 1 species
AGAGUUUGAUCAUGGCUCAGGACGAACGCUGGCGGCGUGCUUAACACAUGCAAGUCGAACGGAAAGCGCUCUUCGGAGUGACUCGAGUGGCGAACGGGUGAGUAACACGUGGGUGAUCUGCCCUGCACUUUGGGAUAAGCCUGGGAAACUGGGUCUAAUACCGGAUAGGACUACGGCCUGCAUGGGUUGUGGUGGAAAGCUUUUGCGGUGUGGGAUGGGCCCGCGGCCUAUCAGCUUGUUGGUGGGGUGAUGGCCUACCAAGGCGACGACGGGUAGCCGGCCUGAGAGGGUGUCCGGCCACACUGGGACUGAGAUACGGCCCAGACUCCUACGGGAGGCAGCAGUGGGGAAUAUUGCACAAUGGGCGCAAGCCUGAUGCAGCGACGCCGCGUGAGGGAUGACGGCCUUCGGGUUGUAAACCUCUUUCAAUAGGGACGAAGCGCAAGUGACGGUACCUAUAGAAGAAGCACCGGCCAACUACGUGCCAGCAGCCGCGGUAAUACGUAGGGUGCGAGCGUUGUCCGGAAUUACUGGGCGUAAAGAGCUCGUAGGUGGUUUGUCGCGUUGUUCGUGAAAACUCACAGCUUAACUGUGGGCGUGCGGGCGAUACGGGCAGACUGGAGUACUGCAGGGGAGACUGGAAUUCCUGGUGUAGCGGUGGAAUGCGCAGAUAUCAGGAGGAACACCGGUGGCGAAGGCGGGUCUCUGGGCAGUAACUGACGCUGAGGAGCGAAAGCGUGGGGAGCGAACAGGAUUAGAUACCCUGGUAGUCCACGCCGUAAACGGUGGGUACUAGGUGUGGGUUUCCUUCCUUGGGAUCCGUGCCGUAGCUAACGCAUUAAGUACCCCGCCUGGGGAGUACGGCCGCAAGGCUAAAACUCAAGGAAUUGACGGGGCCCGCACAAGCGGCGGAGCAUGUGGAUUAAUUCGAUGCAACGCGAAGAACCUUACCUGGGUUUGACAUGCACCAGGACGCCAGUAGAAGAUAUUGGG